rnacentral:rRNA from 1 species
UUCCGGUUGAUCCUGCCGGACCCUACUGCUAUCGGGGUGGGACUAAGACAUGCGUGUCGCCCAAGCCAACCGUGGCAUACGGCUCAGUAACACGUGGCUAACCUACCCUCGAGACAGGGACAACCCCGGGAAACUGGGGCUAAUCCCAGAUAGAUGAGGACCUCUGGAAUGGGUUGCACCGUGGAUGCUCUGUCGCUCAAGGAUGGGGCCGCGACCGAUCAGGUUGUUGGUGAGGUAAUGGCUCACCAAGCCUUUUACCGGUGCGGGCCGUGAGAGCGGGAGCCCGGAGAUGGGCACUGAGACAAGGGCCCAGGCCCUACGGGGCGCAGCAGUCGCGAAAACUUUGCAAUACACGAAAGUGUGACAGGGCUAUCCCGAGUGCCAUCCGCUGAGGAAGGCUUUUACCCAGUCUAGAAAGCUGGGAGAAUAAGGAGAGGGCAAGUCUGGUGUCAGCCGCCGCGGUAAUACCAGCUCUCCGAGUGGUGUGGAUGUUUAUUGGGCCUAAAGCAUCCGUAGCUGGCUAAGUUAGUCCCUUGUUAAACCCACCGAAUUAAUCGUUGGCGUGCGGGGGAUACUGCUCGGCUAGGGGACGAGAGAGGCAGACGGUAUUCUCGGGGUAGGGGUGAAAUCCUAUAAUCCCGAGAAGACCACCAGUGGCGAAGGCUGUCUGCUAGAACGCGCCCGACGGUGAGGGAUGAAAGCUGGGGGAGCGAACCGGAUUAGAUACCCGGGUAGUCCCAGCUGUAAACGAUGCAGGCUAGGUGUUUGGACGGCCACGUGCCGUUCUAGUGCCGCAGGGAAGCUGUUAAGCCUGCCGCCUGGGGAGUACGGUCGCAAGAUUGAAACUUAAAGGAAUUGGCGGGGGAGCACCACAAGGGGUGAAGCUUGCGGUUUAAUUGGAUUCAACGCCGGA